rnacentral:RNase_P_RNA from 1 species
CCAGACGGCUGGACGGUCGCCGCCGCCCUUGAUCCUUUGGGUCGGGGUGGGGGAGGAAAGUCCGGGCUCCACGAAAAAACGGUGCCGGGUAACGCCCGGCGGGGGUGACCCCAGGGAAAGUGCCACAGAAAGUAAACCGCCCAUCUUGCGAGACGGGCAAGGGUGAAAGGGUGCGGUAAGAGCGCACCGCGCGGCCGGUAACGGCCGUGGCAGGGUAAACCCCACCGGGAGCAAAACCGAAUAGGGAUGGCGCGCCGUGUGCCGGCUUUGCCGGCGCUUGGCAGGCGUGUUCGCGCCGCCGUCCGGGUAGGUUGCACGAGGUGUCCGGCGACGGGCACCCUAGAUGAAUGACCGUCCAGCGCCGCCAAACCUGGGCCGCGGCGUGGACAGAACCCGGCUUACAGGCCGUCUGGCGCC